CAGUCGCCGCGGGAAUACGAAGGGUGCAAGCGUUACUCGGAAUUACUGGGCGUAAAGCGUGCGUAGGUGGUGGUUUAAGUCCGUUGUGAAAGCCCUGGGCUCAACCUGGGAAUUGCAGUGGAUACUGGGUCACUAGAGUGUGGUAGAGGAUAGUGGAAUUUCCGGUGUAGCAGUGAAAUGCGUAGAGAUCGGAAGGAACAUCUGUGGCGAAGGCGGCCAUCUGGGACAACACUGACGCUGAGGCACGAAAGCGUGGGGAGCAAACAGGAUUAGAUACCCGCGUAGUCCCUGUCUCUUAUAC
rnacentral:rRNA from 1 species